UAGUCCACGCCGUAAACGAUGAGUGCUAGUUGUUGGGCCUUGAGCUCGGUGACGUAGUUAACGCGUUAAGCACUCCGCCUGGGGAGUACGGUCGCAAGAUUAAAACUCAAAGGAAUUGACGGGGACCCGCACAAGCGGUGGAGCAUGUGGUUUAAUUCGAGGCAACGCGAAGAACCUUACCAGUCCUUGACAUCCCGAUCGCGAUUAAUGGAGACAUUUUUCUUCAGUUCGGCUGGAUCGGUGACAGGUGCUGCAUGGUUGUCGUCAGCUCGUGUCGUGAGAUGUUGGGCUAAGUCCCGCAACGAGCGCAACCCUUAUCCUUAGUUGCCAGCACAUAAUGGUGGGAACUCUAGGGAGACUGCCGGUGACAAACCGGAGGAAGGUGGGGAUGACGUCAAGUCAUCAUGGCCCUUACGGGUAGGGCUACACACGUGCUACAAUGGUCGGUACAAAGGGUUGCGAAGCCGCGAGGUGGAGCUAAUCUCAUAAACCGAUCGUAGUCCGGA
rnacentral:rRNA from 1 species